rnacentral:rRNA from 1 species
CUGAGUAGAGUGGCGCACGGGUGAGUAACGCGUGGGUAAUCUCCCCUUGGAUUUGGGAUAACUCUGCGAAAGUGGAGCUAAUACCGGAUGGUCUGGCUUUAAAUGAUAAGUCGGUAAAGGAUGCCUCUGCAUAUGCAUUCGUCUAAGGAUGAGCCCGCGUCUCAUUAGCUAGUUGGUAGGGUAAUGGCCUACCAAGGCAACGAUGAGUAGCUGGUCUGAGAGGAUGAUCAGCCACACUGGAACUGAAACACGGUCCAGACUCCUACGGGAGGCAGCAGUGGGGAAUAUUGCGCAAUGGGCGAAAGCCUGACGCAGCAACGCCGUGUGAGGGAUGAAGGCUUUCGGGUCGUAAACCUCUGUCAGAAGGGAAGAACGGGCAUUGGUCUAAUAGGCCUUUGUUUUGACGGUACCUUCAGAGGAAGCACCGGCUAACUCCGUGCCAGCAGCCGCGGUAAUACGGAGGGUGCAAGCGUUAUUCGGAAUUACUGGGCGUAAAGCGCACGUAGGCGGCCUUGUAAGUCAGGGGUGAAAUCCCACGGCUCAACCGUGGAACUGCCUUUGAAACUGCAGGGCUUGAAUCCUGGAGAGGGUGGCGGAAUUCCUGGUGUAGGAGUGAAAUCCGUAGAUAUCAGGAGGAACACCGGUGGCGAAGGCGGCCACCUGGACAGGUAUUGACGCUGAGGUGCGAAAGUGUGGGGAGCAAACAGGAUUAGAUACCCUGGUAGUCCACACCGUAAACGAUGGAUACUAGGUGUCGGGGACUUGAUCUUCGGUGCCGUAGCUAACGCGUUAAGUAUCCCGCCUGGGGAGUACGGUCGCAAGGCUGAAACUCAAAGAAAUUGACGGGGGCCCGCACAAGCGGUGGAGUAUGUGGUUUAAUUCGAUGCAACGCG